UUAACUUGAUUAUUUUUAGCUCAGAGAGUUCCAUAAUACAGAGUCUUGUUUCUUCGACAGGCACCUGUAACAGGCUGAAGCUCCGCCCUGAAGCCACCUGUCGAAGCAACUGCACGGGUAUAAUUCACAGAGGUUUGGGAGUUUCGCAACUCUUGUAAUGAUCCCUCCGCUGGUUCACCAACGGAGA
rnacentral:misc_RNA from 1 species